ensembl:snRNA U12 U12 minor spliceosomal RNA
AUGCCUUAAACUGAUGAGUAAGGAAAAUAACGAUGCGGGGUGACGCCCGUGUCCACGUCAUAGAACGUUUCAAUUUUUGACUGGGCACAGGUCUGUCGGAAAGGUGACUUACCUACUUUGUAAGAUGCCUUACCCGAACUAGGACCUGCCCU